AGUAAAGUCAGCUAACUAAGCUCUUGGGCCCAUACCCCAAAAAUGUUGGUUCAAGUCCUUCCUAUACUA
rnacentral:tRNA from 2 species